rnacentral:rRNA from 3 species
UGGGGAAUCUUGCGCAAUGGGCGAAAGCCUGACGCAGCAACGCCGCGUGGAGGAAGAAGGCCUUCGGGUUGUAAACUCCUGUCAGGGGGAACGAAGGCACCUGGGUUAAUAGCCCAAGGGCUGACGGUACCCCCAGAGGAAGCCACGGCUAACUACGUGCCAGCAGCCGCGGUAAUACGUAGGUGGCGAGCGUUGUCCGGAAUCAUUGGGCGUAAAGAGCGCGUAGGCGGCUUGUCAGGUCUGACGUGAAAUCCCGGGGCUCAACCCCGGACGUGCAUCAGAAACCGGCUUGCUAGAGUCUGGGAGAGGGAAGUGGAAUUCCUGGUGUAGCGGUGAAAUGCGCAGAUAUCAGGAGGAACACCGGUAGCGAAGGCUGCUUCCUGGAACAGUACUGACGCUGAGGCGCGAAAGCUAGGGGAGCAAACAGG